UACAGAGGGUGCGAGCGUUGUCCGGAAUUACUGGGCGUAAAGGGCGCGUAGGCGGCCCGAUAAGUAGGGGGUGAAAUUCCGUGGCUUAACCACGGAACGGCCUUCUAGACUGUCAGGCUUGAGCACGGUAGAGGCAGAUGGAAUUCCCGGUGUAGCGGUGGAAUGCGUAGAGAUCGGGAAGAACACCAGUGGCGAAGGCGGUCUGCUGGGCCGUUGCUGACGCUGAGGCGCGACAGCGUGGGGAGCAAACAGG
rnacentral:rRNA from 1 species